AGUGAACGCUGGCGGUAGGCCUAACACAUGCAAGUCGAACGGCAGCACAGUAAGAGCUUGCUCUUACGGGUGGCGAGUGGCGGACGGGUGAGGAAUACAUCGGAAUCUACUUUUUCGUGGGGGAUAACGUAGGGAAACUUACGCUAAUACCGCAUACGACCUACGGGUGAAAGCAGGGGAUCUUCGGACCUUGCGCGAUUGAAUGAGCCGAUGUCGGAUUAGCUAGUUGGCGGGGUAAAGGCCCACCAAGGCGACGAUCCGUAGCUGGUCUGAGAGGAUGAUCAGCCAAACUGGAACUGGAACACGGUCCAAACUCCUACGGGAGGCAGCAGUGGGGAAUAUUGGACAAUGGGCGCAAGCCUGAUCCAGCCAUACCGCGUGGGUGAAGAAGGCCUUCGGGUUGUAAAGCCCUUUUGUUGGGAAAGAAAAGCAGCAGGUUAAUACCCCGCUGUUCUGACGGUACCCAAAGAAUAAGCACCGGCUAACUUCGUG
rnacentral:rRNA from 1 species